rnacentral:rRNA from 1 species
GACGAACGCUGGCGGCGUGCUUAACACAUGCAAGUCGAACGGAAAGGCCCUGCUUUUGUGGGGUGCUCGAGUGGCGAACGGGUGAGUAACACGUGAGUAACCUGCCCUUGACUUUGGGAUAACUUCAGGAAACUGGGGCUAAUACCGGAUAGGAGCUCCUGCUGCAUGGUGGGGGUUGGAAAGUUUCGGCGGUUGGGGAUGGACUCGCGGCUUAUCAGCUUGUUGGUGGGGUAGUGGCUUACCAAGGCUUUGACGGGUAGCCGGCCUGAGAGGGUGACCGGCCAAAUUGGGACUGAGAUACGGCCCAGACUCCUACGGGAGGCAACAGUGGGGAAUAUUGCAAAAUGGGCGGAAGCCUGAUGCAGCAACGCCGCGUGCGGGAUGACGGCCUUCGGGUUGUAAACCGCUUUCGCCUGUGACGAAGCGUGAGUGACGGUAAUGGGUAAAGAAGCACCGGCUAACUACGUG